ACACAUGCAAGUCGAACGGGAAACUUUUAUUGAAGCUUCGGCAGAUUUAGAUUGUUUCUAGUGGCGGACGGGUGAGUAACGCGUGGGUAACCUGCCUUAUACAGGGGGAUAACAGUCAGAAAUGACUGCUAAUACCGCAUAAGCGCACAGAGCUGCAUGGCUCAGUGUGAAAAACUCCGGUGGUAUAAGAUGGACCCGCGUUGGAUUAGCUGGUUGGUGAGGUAACGGCCCACCAAGGCGACGAUCCAUAGCCGGCCUGAGAGGGUGAACGGCCACAUUGGGACUGAGACACGGCCCAGACUCCUACGGGAGGCAGCAGUGGGGAAUAUUGCACAAUGGGGGAAACCCUGAUGCAGCGACGCCGCGUGAAGGAAGAAGUAUCUCGGUAUGUAAACUUCUAUCAGCAGGGAAGAAAAUGACGGUACCUGACUAAGAAGCCCCGGCUAACUACGUGCCAGCAGCCGCGGUAAUACGUAGGGGGCAAGCGUUAUCCGGAUUUACUGGGUGUAAAGGGAGCGUAGACGGAUGGACAAGUCUGAUGUGAAAGGCUGGGGCUCAACCCCGGGACUGCAUUGGAAACUGCCCGUCUUGAGUGCCGGAGAGGUAAGCGGAAUUCCUAGUAUAGCGGUGAAAUGCGUAGAUAUUAGGAGGAACACCAGUGGCGAAGGCGGCUUACU
rnacentral:rRNA from 1 species